AUUGAACGCUGGCGGAAUGCUUUACACAUGCAAGUCGAACGGCAGCACGGGGGCAACCCUGGUGGCGAGUGGCGAACGGGUGAGUAAUAUAUCGGAACGUGCCCAGUCGUGGGGGAUAACGUAGCGAAAGUUACGCUAAUACCGCAUACGAUCUACGGAUGAAAGCGGGGGAUCGCAAGACCUCGCGCGAUUGGAGCGGCCGAUAUCAGAUUAGGUAGUUGGUGGGGUAAAGGCUCACCAAGCCAACGAUCUGUAGCUGGUCUGAGAGGACGACCAGCCACACUGGGACUGAGACACGGCCCAGACUCCUACGGGAGGCAGCAGUGGGGAAUUUUGGACAAUGGGCGAAAGCCUGAUCCAGCCAUUCCGCGUGCAGGACGAAGGCCUUCGGGUUGUAAACUGCUUUUGUACGGAACGAAAAAGCCUUGGCUAAUACCCAGGGUCCAUGACGGUACCGUAAGAAUAAGCACCGGCUAACUACGUGCCAGCAGCCGCGGUAAUACGUAGGGUGCAAGCGUUAAUCGGAAUUACUGGGCGUAAAGCGUGCGCAGGCGGUUAUAUAAGACAGAUGUGAAAUCCCCGGGCUCAACCUGGGAACUGCAUUUGUGACUGUAUAGCUAGAGUGCGGCAGAGGGGGAUGGAAUUCCGCGUGUAGCAGUGAAAUGCGUAGAUAUGCGGAGGAACACCGAUGGCGAAGGCA
rnacentral:rRNA from 1 species